UACGAAGGGUGCAAGCGUUAAUCGGAAUUACUGGGCGUAAAGGGUGCGUAGGCGGUUGUUUAAGUCUGUCGUGAAAGCCCCGGGCUCAACCUGGGAAUGGCAUUGGAAACUGGCGAGCUAGAGUGUGGCAGAGGGGGGUGGAAUUCCGCGUGUAGCAGUGAAAUGCGUAGAGAUGCGGAGGAACACCGAUGGCGAAGGCAGCCCCCUGGGCUAGCACUGACGCUCAGGCACGAAAGCGUGGGGAGCAAACAGG
rnacentral:rRNA from 1 species